AUUGAACGCUGGCGGCAUGCUUUACACAUGCAAGUCGAACGGCAGCGCGGGCUUCGGCCUGGCGGCGAGUGGCGAACGGGUGAGUAAUACAUCGGAACGUGCCCAGUAGUGGGGGAUAGCUCGGCGAAAGCCGGAUUAAUACCGCAUACGACCUGAGGGUGAAAGCGGGGGAUCUUCGGACCUCGCGCUAUUGGAGCGGCCGAUGGCAGAUUAGCUAGUUGGUGGGGUAAAGGCCUACCAAGGCGACGAUCUGUAGCUGGUCUGAGAGGACGACCAGCCACACUGGGACUGAGACACGGCCCAGACUCCUACGGGAGGCAGCAGUGGGGAAUUUUGGACAAUGGGCGAAAGCCUGAUCCAGCAAUGCCGCGUGUGAUGAAGGCCUUCGGGUUGUAAAGCACUUUUGGCGGGAACGAAAAGGACUGUGCCAAUACCACGGUUCGAUGACGGUACCCGCAGAAUAAGCACCGGCUAACUACGUG
rnacentral:rRNA from 1 species